AUUUUAUUGGUAGCUCUCCUUACUAGAUAUUCACGAUCAUUCUUAACUGAGUGGUUGGUCUAUUCGAAAGGGUAGGUGCUUGGUGGGUCUGGGGAUUAGGAUGUGGUUUUUUUUACGGGGCAACCUGUGGAGAAAUCUGCUUAGUUCACUUCCAUUAAGUAGAAUUCUAGUUCAUUUACUUUGAGUAAAUUAGAGUGUUCAAAGCAAACGUACAAAUUUUGUAAUGAAUACUAUUAGCAUGGGAUAAUGGAACAGGACGUUGGUUCUAUUUUAUUGGUUUCUAGAACUAAUGUAAUGAUUAAAAGGGAUAGUUGGGGGCAUUAGUAUUUAAUUGUCAGAGGUGAAAUUCUUGGAUUUAUGAAAGACUAACUUCUGCGAAAGCAUUUGUCAAGGAUGUUUUCAUUAAUCAAGAACGAAAGUGGGGAUCGAAGACGAUCAGAUACCGUCGUAGUCUUAACCAUAAACUAUGCCGACCAGGGAUUGGAAGACGUUAAUUUAAAAAAUAGGACUCCUCCAGCACCUUACGAGAAAUCACAAGUUUUUGGGUUCUGGGGGGAGUAUGGUCGCAAGGCUGAAACUUAAAGGAAUUGACGGAAGGGCACCACCAGGAGUGGAGCCUGCGGCUUAAUUUGACCCAACACGGGAAAACUUACCAGGUCCAGACACAGUUAGGAUUGACAGAUUGAGAGCUCUUUCUUGAUUCUGUGGGUGGUGGUGCAUGGCCGUUCUUAGUUGGUGGAGUGAUUUGUCUGGUUAAUUCCGAUAACGAACGAGACCUCAGCCUGCUAAUUAGUUAUAUAAAUUAAUACGCUUAUGAGGGUUUGCUGUAAAGCUUUCUUCGCAAGGAGGGGAUUUAUAGUGAAAACUUGUUUUAAUUUAUAGAAACUUCUUAGAGGGACACUUGGUGUCUAACCAAGGGAAGUUUGAGGCAAUAACAGGUCUGUGAUGCCCUUUAGAUGUUCUGGGCUGCACGCGCGCUACACUGAUAUAAUCAACAAGUAUCAAAAACCUUUGCAGAAAUGUAUGGGUAAACUUUUGAAAUUAUAUCGUGCUGGGGAUCGAUAAUUGUAAUUAUUUAUCGUCAACGAGGAAUUCCUAGUAAGCGCAAGUCAUCAGCUUGCGUUGAUUACGUCCCUGCCCUUUGUACACACCGCCCGUCGCUCCUACCGAUGAAUGGUCCGGUGAAAUCUUAAGAUUGAAAGCAUAUACUUAUUGAUUUCGGUUAAUAAGUUUGUUUUUAAGAAUUUGAGUAAACCUUGCCAUUU
rnacentral:rRNA from 1 species